rnacentral:rRNA from 1 species
UACGGGGGGAGCAAGCGUUGUUCGGAAUUACUGGGCGUAAAGGGCGCGUAGGCGGCCUUCUAAGUCGAACGUGAAAUCCCCGGGCUCAACCCGGGAACUGCGUCCGAGACUGGAAGGCUCGAAUCCGGGAGAGGGAUGUGGAAUUCCAGGUGUAGCGGUGAAAUGCGUAGAUAUCUGGAGGAACAUCGGUGGCGAAGGCGGCAUCCUGGACCGGUAUUGACGCUGAGACGCGAAAGCGUGGGGAGCAAACAGG